rnacentral:lncRNA from 1 species
GUGGGAGACUGAAGCUGCAAUACAGGAGGCAGCUCUUUGUAGGUAAAGUGCCUUAUUUUCUUUGAGCUUUCCUUCCUUCCUUUAGAUGACAGUGGGGGGAGGGAAGGAAUACCAGUUUUAUGGGGGGGAAAAAAACGUAGAGAACGAAUCAAUACUUAUGCAGAUCCUGGAUAAGGUUAAGGCACAGACUAAUAACCCAGCACAGCAACCCGCCCCCCCCACCAACAAAAAAGUGUCAAAAGAGAAGGGAAAAACCUGUUCAUACGCUUUCAACACCAUCCCCUGGAGAUCCCAAGUGUAAACGGUUUUAUCUACAGAAAGGCAUUUUACUCGGGCUGCAGUAAUCGGGGUUGAUUACAGCCACUCUGCGAAGCCAGCGGCGUGCGUGCGGGUGGGCGAGCGCCGUCUGAGCCCUCGGUUUAGACGAGUUCAACUUUAGCGUUGGGAUAAACAGCCACCACGUCAUAGCCCUCGGGGGGCUUAACCCUCUCCUUGGCGUGCGUCUCGCAAUACAGCUGCUCCUCGAUGAAGAAAUAGCCCCUCUGCUUCAGGUUGAGGCCGCAGUCGUCGCACAUGAAGCACUCGGGGUGGUAGAGCUUGUCGCGGGCUUUGACGAUGGUCCCCACGAUCCCAUUGCCACAUCUCGUGCACUCGGGGAGCAUCUGCAGCCCGGACAUGGCAGCGCCCAGCUUCGGUCCUGCAGGUUUGAUGCUCCGAGGGUUGCUCAGUCUGUCGAGUUUUUCACCGUUCUCCCCAGCCUCCAGCAUGCCCUGCAGGUAGCGGAAGGACCCCGACUGCUUGGGCUCUGAGGCAGGCCUCUCGUAAUCCUGGAGCAUCUUGUAGACAUCUGACUCCACAUCGAUCCCGUUUCUGUUCCGUGGGAGGGACUUUAAGGGGUCGGUGCUUUGGGAGGGAGAGAUGUGCAGCCCACUGAGCUGCAGCGGCAAGGCGGCAUCGGCGCUGCUGCUGGCAUGCGGCCGGCUGGGCUGGGGGUGCUGCAGGCUCAGUGCCGGCCUGCUGUCCACUGGGCUCCCACCUGCAGCGUGGGGCAUGGGCCUCUUGCCCACUGCAGGGCCGUUAUCCUGCGGCUCAGGCUCAAUAUUGAUGCGGUAAGCUUGUGCCUUCCCAUCCUCCAGUAUGGGUGGUGACCAGCUCCUCUCCUCAGCUCUGCUCACAGACAGCAGCAGCUGCUCCACACACGCCUUGAUCUUGUUCUGAGCCUCCAGGUGCGUCAUGGCUUCUGUGCUCUCCCCAUUAAUGGCCAGAAUGAUGUCUCCUGGGCACAGGUUGGCCAGGGCUGCUUUACUUCCAGGGUUAAUCCUGGAGAUGGUCAGCGGCGUGCUGAAGUCCUUACCGCCCACCAGGCGGAAACCCCACGGCGAGGGGCCGCGCAGGGCCACCGAGUGCGGCAUAGCGGGGUUGGGGCUCCGUGCCCAGCGCUGCGCUCCGCUCCCGCCCGCCGCCGCCGCAUCCACUUAAAGCGGCUCCGAGGC